rnacentral:rRNA from 1 species
GAUGAACGCUGGCGGCGUGCCUAAUACAUGCGAGUCGAGCGAACAGACGAGGAGCUUGCUCCUCUGACGUUAGCGGCGGACGGGUGAGUAACACGUGGAUAACCUACCUAUAAGACUGGGAUAACUUCGGGAAACCGGAGCUAAUACCGGAUAAUAUAUUGAACCGCAUGGUUCAAUAGUGAAAGACGGUUUUGCUGUCACUUAUAGAUGGAUCCGCGCCGCAUUAGUUAGUUGGUAAGGUAACGGCUUACCAAGGCAACGAUGCGUAGCCGACCUGAGAGGGUGAUCGGCCACACUGGAACUGAGACACGGUCCAGACUCCUACGGGAGGCAGCAGUAGGGAAUCUUCCGCAAUGGGCGAAAGCCUGACGGAGCAACGCCGCGUGAGUGAUGAAGGUCUUCGGAUCGUAAAACUCUGUUAUUAGGGAAGAACAAAUGUGUAAGUAACUAUGCACGUCUUGACGGUACCUAAUCAGAAAGCCACGGCUAACUACGUG